CCUUCGGGUGGCUGCAGUGAGGAAUAUUGGUCAAUGGGCGGGAGCCUGAACCAGCCAAGCCGCGUGAGGGAAGAAGGUCCAGCGUAUUGUAAACCUCUUUUGUCAGGGAACAAAGCCGGGGACUAGUCCCCGGCUGAGGGUACCCGAAGAAAAAGCAUAGGCUAACUCCGUGCCAGCAGCCGCGGUAAUACGGAGGAUGCGAGCGUUAUCCGGAUUUAUUGGGUUGAAAGGGUGCGCAGGCGGCCUGUUAAGUCAGCGGUAAAAGCCCGGGGCUCAACCCCGGCGAGCCGUUGAAACUGGCGGGCUGGAGUGGGAGAGAAGUACGCGGAAUGCGCGGUGUAGCGGUGAAAUGCUUAGAUAUCGCGCAGAACCCCGAUUGCGAAGGCAGCGUACCGGCUCCAAACUGACGCUGAGGCACGAAAGCGUGGGUAUCGAACAGGAUUAGAUACCCGAGUAGUC
rnacentral:rRNA from 1 species